UAAGCAAACAGUGAAAGCGUACGGCUCAACCGUAUAUACAUUGUUUGAACUGCUCAGCUAGAGGACGAGAGAGGUUAUUGGAAUUUCUAGUGUAGGAGUGAAAUCCGUAGAUAUUAGAAGGAACACCGAUGGCGUAGGCAGAUAACUGGCUUGUUCCUGACACUAAGGCACGAAAGCGUGGGGAGCGAACGGGAUUAGAUACCCCGGUAGUCCACGCCGUAAACUAUGGAUGCUA
rnacentral:rRNA from 1 species